AGAGUUUGAUCAUGGCUCAGGAUGAACGCUGGCGGCGUGCCUAAUACAUGCAAGUCGAACGGUGACCGCAAGGUCAUAGUGGCGACCGGGUGCGUAACACGUAGCUGACCUGCCCCUCAGCGGGGGACAACAGUGCGAAAGCGCUGCUAAUACCGCAUACGCUCGGAGUGGUUAGACGGCUCUGAGGAAACUUACGGGGUUGAGGGAGGGAGCUGCGGCCCAUCAGGUAGUUGGCGAGGUAACGGCUCACCAAGCCAUCGACGGGUAGGGGACCUGAGAGGGUGGUCCCCCACACUGGGACUGACACACGGCCCAGACUCCUACGGGAGGCAGCAGUAAGGGAUAUUGCGCAAUGGGCGAAAGCCUGACGCAGCAACGCCGCGUGGAGGAUGACGGCCUUCGGGUUGUAAACUCCUUUUAGCUCGGACGAGGAAGGACGGUACGGGCUGAAGAAGUCACGGCUAACUACGUGCCAGCAACCGCGGUAAAACGUAGGUGGCAAGCGUUAUCCGGAUUUACUGGGCGUAAAGCGUGUGCAGGCGGUCGUGCAAGUGGUGUAUGAAAUCGCCCGGCUUAACCGGGCGGGGUUAGGCCAGACUGCAGGACUGGAGUGCGGGAGAGGGGCGUGGAAUUCCGGGUGUAGUGGUGAAAUGCGUAGAGAUCCGGAGGAACCCCAGCGGCGAAGGCGGCGCCCUGGCCCGACACUGACGCUCAGACACGACAGCAUGGGGAGCGAACGGGAUUAGAAACCCCGGUAGUCCAUGCCGUAAACAAUGCCAACUAGGCGUCGGGGGUCUCAACCCCCUCGGUGCCGGAGCUAACGCGGGAAGUUGGCCGCCUGGGGAGUACGACCGCAAGGUUAAAACUCAAAGGAAUUG
rnacentral:rRNA from 1 species